UACACGCUGUGACUAGCAUAUCAAUAAGCGGAGGAAAAGAAACUAACAAGGAUUCCCCUAGUAACGGCGAGUGGAGCGGGAAGAGCUCAAAUUUGAAAUCUUAAAGGGUUUCCCUUUACGAAUUGUAGUUUAAAGAAGUGUUUUCUGUUGAGGUUUUGGUAAAAGUUCUUUGGAAUAGGACAUCAUAGAGGGUGAGAAUCCCGUAUUUGACCUUUACUUUCAACUUUGUGAUACACUUUCAAAGAGUCGGAUUGUUUGGGAAUGCAGUCCAAAAUGGGUGGUAAAUUUCAUCUAAAGCUAAAUAUUGGCGAGAGACCGAUAGCGAACAAGUACCAUGAGGGAAAGAUGAAAAGAACUUUGAAAAGAGAGUUAAACAGUACGUGAAAUUGUCAAAAGGGAAGCGUUUGACACCAGUGUUGUUUUUCUGAAAAUCAAUUAAAGAACUGUUUAUGCUAAGCUGUUUAGACUUUAUCAGCUAUCUGUUUAGUUUUGAGCUUUUCUUUAAUGCACUUUUCAGUUAACAAGUCAACAUCAAUUUCUUUUGCUGUAAAAAAGCUUGAGGAAGGUGGCUUGAGACUCGUCUUAAGUGUUUAUAGCCUCUUGCCUAUGCAGUCGGAGAGAUUGAGGUCUGCAGCGUAGAUCCUUCGGGGCUAAAUGCAUUUGUGCUAAGUUAUAGCAUUUUAUAGACAACUUGUUGACUAUGAUUUGUCUUGUAGCUUACUCGCUUAUGUUAUUUUACCUACGCUUAGGAUGUUGAAGAUGUAGCACAUCAU
rnacentral:rRNA from 1 species